rnacentral:rRNA from 1 species
ACGGAGGGUGCGAGCGUUGUCCGGAAUCACUGGGCGUAAAGGGCGCGUAGGCGGCGGGUCAAGCGUGCGGUGAAAGCCCGGGGCUCAACUCCGGGUCGGCCGUGCGAACUGGCGCGCUGGAGCACUGUAGAGGCAGAUGGAAUUCCGGGUGUAGCGGUGGAAUGCGUAGAGAUCCGGAAGAACACCGGUGGCGAAGGCGGUCUGCUGGGCAGUGGCUGACGCUGAGGCGCGACAGCGUGGGGAGCAAACAGGAUUAGAUACCCUGGUAGUCCACGCCGUAAACGAUGGGCACUAGAUGCUUGGGGGAGCGACCCCCUGAGUGUCGGCGCUAACGCAUUAAGUGCCCCGCCUGGGGAGUACGGCCGCAAGGCUG